rnacentral:rRNA from 1 species
CCUACGGGAGGCUGCAGUGAGGAAUAUUGGUCAAUGGGCGCGAGCCUGAACCAGCCAAGUAGCGUGAAGGAUGACUGCCCUACGGGUUGUAAACUUCUUUUAUAAAGGAAUAAAGUGAGGCACGUGUGCCUUUUUGUAUGUACUUUAUGAAUAAGGAUCGGCUAAUUCCGUGCCAGCAGCCGCGGUAAUACGGAGGAUCCGAGCGUUAUCCGGAUUUAUUGGGUUUAAAGGGAGCGUAGAUGGGUUGUUAAGUCAGUUGUGAAAGUUUGUGGCUCAACCGUAAAAUUGCAAUUGAUACUGGCAGGCUUGAGUGCAGUGGAGGUAGGCGGAAUUCGUGGUGUAGCGGUGAAAUGCUUAGAUAUCACGAAGAACUCCGAUUGCGAAGGCAGCUUACGAAACUGCCACUGACAUUGAUGCUCGAAAGUGUGGGUAUCAAACAGGAUUAGAUACCCCUGUAGUC